rnacentral:rRNA from 1 species
AACGAACGCUGGCGGCGCGCCUAACACAUGCAAGUCGAACGAGAGAGUCAGAUCUUGCUUUCUUGAGCGAGUUGCGGACGGGUAAGUAACGCGUGAGGAACCUGUCACACCGCGGGAGACAACCGUUUGCCACGAAUGCUCAUACCGCAUAAGAUCUCGGUGCCGCAUGGCACCGCGGGUAAAGUAGCCAUUCGCUUUGGGAUGGACCCGCGUACGAUUAGCUAGUUGGUGUGGUCACAGCCCACCAAGGCGACGAUUGGUAGCGGGACUGAGAGGAUGAUCGGCCACACUGGGACUGAGACACGGCCCAGACUCCUACGGGAGGCAGCAGUGGGGAAUAUUGCACAAUGGGCGAAACCCUGAUGCAGCGACGCCGCGUGGAUGAAGAAGGUCUUCGGAUUGUAAACUCCUGUUGUUGGGGAUGAUAAUGACAGUACCCAGCGAAUAAGCUACGGCUAACUACGUG